rnacentral:rRNA from 1 species
AAGUCGUAACAAGGUCUCCGUUGGUGAACCAGCGGAGGGAUCAUUACUGAGUUUACGCUCUACAACCCUUUGUGAACAUACCUAUAACUGUUGCUUCGGCGGGUAGGGUCUCCGUGACCCUCCCGGCCUCCCGCCCCCCGGGCGGGUCGGCGCCCGCCGGAGGAUAACCAAACUCUGAUUUAACGACGUUUCUUCUGAGUGGUACAAGCAAAUAAUCAAAACUUUUAACAACGGAUCUCUUGGUUCUGGCAUCGAUGAAGAACGCAGCGAAAUGCGAUAAGUAAUGUGAAUUGCAGAAUUCAGUGAAUCAUCGAAUCUUUGAACGCACAUUGCGCCCGCCAGCAUUCUGGCGGGCAUGCCUGUUCGAGCGUCAUUUCAACCCUCAAGCUCUGCUUGGUGUUGGGGCCCUACAGCUGAUGUAGGCCCUCAAAGGUAGUGGCGGACCCUCCCGGAGCCUCCUUUGCGUAGUAACUUUACGUCUCGCACUGGGAUCCGGAGGGACUCUUGCCGUAAAACCCCCCAAUUUUCCAAAGGUUGACCUCGGAUCAGGUAGGAAUACCCGCUGAACUUAA